CUGGAGGGUCCAUGGAAAGAAAGGAGCAAGCUAUUUUAUAAAAUGAUAACAUCUUAAGGAAUAUGUGAGCUGGAAAGGAGUUGCAUAGAUAAAUUCGAUUUGGAAGGCAGUAUACAAUUUUUGAAGAGUGACAAUUGUGAAAUCAGACUGCUUGGUUUAUAUCACUACUCAACCACUUAGUUGUGUUACCCUAAGAAACUGGCUUCACCUCACUGUGCCUCAGUCCUCUCAUUGGUAAAAUGGGGACAAUAAUAUGUACUCUGUGGCAUUGUUGUAAGAAUUGUUAGAUACAUCAUGUUAAGCAUUUAGCAUAAUGCUUGACAUUUAGCAAAAAAGUAUAUCUUUUAUUGUUAUUAUUAUCAAUAUUACUGAAUUUUUUUCAUUAAAGCACAUUUGCACACCAUUAUUUUAGCUACUGUUGGUGAAUCAAAAUGUGAAUUGCUGAAGGAGAUUUGGUACAUUUUCUUACAGUGAGAGGGAGAUUGCAAAUUAGAUGGAGUAGAAAUGCCUCUUAAGGGCCUGCCAGGUUCCUAUCGCCUCUUCAAAUCAUGGGAAUACAGAAAGAUUUGAGUCCCUUCAAGGGAAAUUCCAUUCAUCUGGCUACCUUUGCAACCAGCAACUGGUGACGUGAAUAAAUAACCUGCUAAGCAAGAAGGUAAUGAUAACUUAGACAAUAAUCAACCUUGUGUAAAUUAGAGUCACAUGAUGUUUGGUUUCCUGUAUAAACUAGUGGUAACAUCUUGACAUGUAUCCUCAAAUUUUUUUCAGAAUCAAGGACCUCUACUGCACGAAAAAUGCUGAUUGCUGUCACAUAGACCUCAAACAGAAUGGAAUCUCAGACGGACCAGAACCAGAAAGUAGAAUUCCUGCAGUCCUCUUUCCACACAGAUGCAGAAGCCUUAAAUAUUUUGGUGGGAUUCAUUCCUGAUUUGCCACAGGAGAUGAAGGUAACACUUUCUGAUGGGCAGUCAUCGUUGAGGAAACAACAGGAUUCAGGGGACCUAAACACUCUUAUUACUUCAUUUAGUAUAAAGUGUUGUAAAAAAAAAUGUGUGCAUAAACUUCGAAAGAAAUUUUGUAAAUUACCAGAGUAAUUAUUGAUUUGUAAUCUUCAUUUGUAAUCUCAAUUAUCCCUUCACUGAUAUCCAGAUUAAUCAUCACUGAUUAUUAGAAACGUGAACCAUUGUUCCUAGUGUUUGCAUUUAUAUUUUUCUGUAAGAAAGAGUCUUCCCAGGGCUGUAAUUUGUGUCAACAGAU
rnacentral:lncRNA from 10 species